GAUGAACGCUGGCGGCGUGCCUAAUACAUGCAAGUAGAACGCUGAAGGAGGAGCUUGCUCUUCUGGAUGAGUUGCGAACGGGUGAGUAACGCGUAGGUAACCUGCCUGGUAGCGGGGGAUAACUAUUGGAAACGAUAGCUAAUACCGCAUGACAACAGUUAUUGCAUGAUAACUGUUUAAAAGGGGCAACUGCUCCACUACCAGAUGGACCUGCGUUGUAUUAGCUAGUUGGUGAGGUAACGGCUCACCAAGGCGACGAUACAUAGCCGACCUGAGAGGGUGAUCGGCCACACUGGGACUGAGACACGGCCCAGACUCCUACGGGAGGCAGCAGUAGGGAAUCUUCGGCAAUGGACGGAAGUCUGACCGAGCAACGCCGCGUGUGUGAAGAAGGUUUUCGGAUCGUAAAGCUCUGUUGUAAGAGAAGAACGAGUGUGAGAGUGGAAAGUUCACACUGUGACGGUAGCUUACCAGAAAGGGACGGCUAACUACGUG
rnacentral:rRNA from 1 species